rnacentral:miRNA from 1 species
AUUUAGCCAGCUGAGUGGGGAGGAGAGAGGGACAGAGAGCCUGCUUGCUUUAAAGGAGCCAACCUCUCCUCUCCCGCUUUGCUCCUUUAAAGCAAGCAGGCUCUCUGUCCCUCUCUCCUCCCCACUCAGCGGCUCUUCUC